GCAGGAUAAUCCCGGGGUUCAGGGUGUUUGACUCCCAGCCGAAAGGUUCUGGGAUCAAACCCCGGUGGCUGCA